ensembl:lncRNA
GGACAUUGCAUAAGCUGAAGGAGCCAUAUGAUGUUUCUCUGUAACAUAAGAAAAUGUCCAUAAUAUGCGUUGUCUUUAUUCACCAGAAAUGAUUGGGUUCGUAAAGAAUGUCAUCUUAUAAGGCUUUAUGACUUUGAGAGUCUAGAAAGUGUGCCUGUAUUCCACAGAUUGUUUACUGACUAUCUGUAACAGUUUAACUAUCUACUAACCCUAACCUUUAUCCCUAACCUUAGCCCUUACCUUAAAUAUUAUUCUAACCUUAACCUUUAUCCCUAACCUUGGCCCUUACCUUAGACAUUAUUCUAACCUCAACCUUUAUCCCUAACCUUGGCCCUUACCUUAGACAUUAUUCUAACCUUAACCUUAGCAUGCAGUUGUUUAUCAACCGAUAGUUUAUUUAAAGUUUGUUGAUAGUAUUACUUAUUUGAACAUAGUUCAAUAGUAUUAUAUUUUGAACAUCUACAGAUGGAAAUUGGUGUCAGGUCCUGGCUGGGGGCCUCUAGAAAUCUCUGUGCUCCUCUUUUUAUUGUCCCCAAUUAGAGGCAUCUGUCCCGCGUUGCCUCUAAUUGGGUACCCUAUUUAAAUUGCCCGUUUUCGCUUUCAGAUUGUGGUUCAUUGUUUGCUUCAUUUCGUGGUGUACCGCUCCUUUUGAUGUUUUUACUUGUUUGUCGGGAAAUAAUAAAAGGAAUGACUUGCUAAUCCUGCGCUAUGCCUCAUGUCCUUCCUACCCUAAGCCGUGACAAUUGGAACUCAAAAUAAUGUGUAAGCAUUAUAAUGCAGAAUUAUACCUGCAUUAUACAGGUUACACUGAAAGGGUUGCCUAUUGUUCAUGCAAACAGCUAGCUACAUGAAUGCAUGUCCUGCAUCAACACUACAGUACACACUGUACUGUACAAACUGUGUUCUUGCAAAAAACAACACAAGUUUGUCCUGUGUCAACAUGAAUAAUAAAGUAAGGGUUAUCAUUACUAACUGUUCAUGUCAUUGUUCACGAUUUUGUCCUGUGUCAACAUGAAUAAUAAUGUAAGGGUUAUCAUUACUAACUGUUCAUGUCAUUGUUCACGAGUUUGUUUUGUGUCAACAUGAAUAAUAAAGUAAGGG